rnacentral:rRNA from 1 species
UGGGGGAUAUUGCACAAUGGGGGGAACCCUGAUGCAGCGACGCCGCGUGAGUGAAGGAAUAUUUCGGUAUGUAAAGCUCUGUCAGCAGGGACGAGGAAGGACGGUACCUGCAGAAGAAGCCCCGGCUAACUACGUGCCAGCAGCCGCGGUAAUACGUAGGGGGCAAGCGUUAUCCGGAUUUACUGGGUGUAAAGGGAGCGUAGACGGCAGGCCAAGCCAGGAGUGAAAGGCCAGGGCUCAACCCUGGGACUGCUUUUGGAACUGGCCGGCUGGAGUACAGGAGAGGUAAGCGGAAUUCCUAGUGUAGCGGUGAAAUGCGUAGAUAUUAGGAGGAACACCAGUGGCGAAGGCGGCUUACUGGACUGAGACUGACGUUGAGGCUCGAAAGCGUGGGGAGCAAACAGG